CAUGUUCCCAUAAGACCACUGAAGUUAAGCAAACUCGAGCUUGGUCGAUACCUAAAUGGGUGACCGCUUGGGAACACCGCGUUCUGUAAG